rnacentral:rRNA from 1 species
AUUGAACGCUGGCGGCAGGCUUAACACAUGCAAGUCGAGCGGGGGAAGGUAGCUUGCUACCGGACCUAGCGGCGGACGGGUGAGUAAUGCUUAGGAAUCUGCCUAUUAGUGGGGGACAACAUCUCGAAAGGGAUGCUAAUACCGCAUACGUCCUACGGGAGAAAGCAGGGGAUCUUCGGACCUUGCGCUAAUAGAUGAGCCUAAGUCGGAUUAGCUAGUUGGUGGGGUAAAGGCCUACCAAGGCAACGAUCUGUAGCGGGUCUGAGAGGAUGAUCCGGCACACUGGGACUGGAACACGGCCCAGAAUCCUACGGGAGGCAGGAGUGGGGAAUAUUGGACAAUGGGGGGAACCCUGAUCCAGCCAUGCCGCGUGUGUGAAGAAGGCCUUAUGGUUGUAAAGCACUUUAAGCGAGGAGGAGGCUACUUUAGUUAAUACCUAGAGAUAGUGGACGUUACUCGCAGAAUAAGCACCGGCUAACUCUGUGCCAGCAGCCGCGGUAA